UGGAUCUGGAAGCUGCCAUUGAUGCCUAUGAUCCAAGUGAUCAAGGCAUUACCAAACCUGGAAUCUUCAUCUAUGAGGUGUUCGAAAAAGCUAAUCUGACCUUCAGCAGCAAGACAGCAGUCUAUGAAGCUCUGGAGCACAUCAUUGGAUACCUGGCACAACAGCCAGGAAUAUUUCUCAAUACUAGUGGACUCCAGAAGCUUUCUGAUAUCAUACAGCUGGUAUUUUGUGGUGAACCGUCAGAAAAGGAGAAACUACACCAGAUGGA